AGCUCUUUUAUUUUUAAGACCUUUUUCGGAAGGUAUGCUUAAAGAGGGGCUUGCGUCACAUUAGUUAGUUGGCAGGGUAAAGGCCUACCAAGACUAUGAUGUGUAGCUGGACUGAGAGGUUGAACAGCCACAUUGGGACUGAGACACGGCCCAAACUCCUACGGGAGGCAGCAGUAGGGAAUUUUCGGCAAUGGAGGAAACUCUGACCGAGCAACGCCGCGUGAACGAUGAAGUAUUUCGGUAUGUAAAGUUCUUUUAUUGAAGAAAAAAAAAUAGUGGAAAAACUUCUUGACGAUAUUCAAUGAAUAAGCCCCGGCAAACUAUGUGCCAGCAGGUAAUACAUAGGGGGCGAGCGUUAUCCGGAAUUAUUGGGCGUAAAGGGUGCGUAGGCGGUUUAAUAAGUCUAUAGUUUAAUUUCAGUGCUUAACACUGUCCUGCUAUAGAAACUAUUAGACUAGAGUGAGAUAGAGGCAAGUGGAAUUCCAUGUGUAGCGGUAAAAUGCGUAAAUAUAUGGAGGAACACCAGAGGCGUAGGCGGCUUGCUGGGUCUUUACUGACGCUGAGGCACGAAAGCGUGGGGAGCAAACAGGAUUAGAUACCCUGGUAGUCCACGCCGUAAACGAUGAGUACUAAGUGUCGGGAUUACUCGGUACUGAAGUUAACACAUUAAGUACUCCGCCUGAGUAGUACGUACGCAAGUAUGAAACUUANAGGAAUUGACGGGACUCCGCACAAGCGGGGGAUCAUGUUGUUUAAUUCGAAGAUACACAAAAAACCUUACCAGGUCUUGACAUACUCUGCAAAGCUAUAGCAAUAUAGUGGAGGUUAUCAGAGAUACAGGUGGUGCAUGGUUGUCGUCAGCUCGUGUCGUGAGAUGUUAGGUUAAGUCCUAAAACGAGCGCAACCCUUGUCAUUAGUUGCCAGCAUGUCAUGAUGGGCACUUUAAUGAGACUGCCAAUGAAAAAUUGGAGGAAGGUGAGGAUCACGUCAAAUCAUCAUGCCCCUUAUGAUCUGGGCUACAAACGUGAUACAAUGGCUGUUACAAAGAGUAGCUGAAACGCAAGUUUAUAGCCAAUCUCAUAAAAGCAGUCUCAGUUCGGAUUGAAGUCUGCAACUCGACUUCAUGAAGUGGAAUCGCUAGUAAUCGCGAAUCAGCAGCGCAGAAACCUAACUC
rnacentral:rRNA from 2 species